rnacentral:snRNA from 1 species
UGUGAAUCAUAGCCUGUUUGCUACGAUCAAGUGUAGUAUCUGUUCUUAUCAGUGUGGCAACUGAUAUGGAUCCAACUGUAUCCAAUUUUCCAGAGUGUAUUUCAAGGAGCUUUCCACUUCUC